UACACUCCUGCGGGAGGCAGCAGUGGGGAAUAUUGGACAAUGGGCGCAAGCCUGAUCCAGCCAUGCCGCGUGAGUGAUGAAGGCCCUAGGGUUGUAAAGCUCUUUCACCGGUGAAGAUAAUGACGGUAACCGGAGAAGAAGCCCCGGCUAACUUCGUGCCAGCAGCCGCGGUAAUACGAAGGGGGCUAGCGUUGUUCGGAUUUACUGGGCGUAAAGCGCACGUAGGCGGACUAUUAAGUCAGGGGUGAAAUCCCGGGGCUCAACCCCGGAACUGCCUUUGAUACUGGUAGUCUUGAGUUCGAGAGAGGUGAGUGGAAUUCCGAGUGUAGAGGUGAAAUUCGUAGAUAUUCGGAGGAACACCAGUGGCGAAGGCGGCUCACUGGCUCGAUACUGACGCUGAGGUGCGAAAGCGUGGGGAGCAAACAGGAUUAGAUACCCCAGUAGUCCCAU
rnacentral:rRNA from 1 species